rnacentral:rRNA from 1 species
AUUGAACGCUGGCGGCAUGCCUUACACAUGCAAGUCGAACGGUAACAGGUCUUCGGAUGCUGACGAGUGGCGAACGGGUGAGUAAUACAUCGGAACGUGCCUAGUAGUGGGGAUAACUACUCGAAAGAGUGGCUAAUACCGCAUGAGAUCUACGGAUGAAAGCAGGGGAUCGCAAGACCUUGUGCUACUAGAGCGGCCGAUGGCAGAUUAGGUAGUUGGUGGGAUAAAAGCUUACCAAGCCGACGAUCUGUAGCUGGUCUGAGAGGACGAUCAGCCACACUGGGACUGAGACACGGCCCAGACUCCUACGGGAGGCAGCAGUGGGGAAUUUUGGACAAUGGGCGCAAGCCUGAUCCAGCAAUGCCGCGUGCAGGAUGAAGGCCCUCGGGUUGUAAACUGCUUUUGUACGGAACGAAAAGCCCCGGGUUAAUACCCUGGGGUCAUGACGGUACCGUAAGAAUAAGCACCGGCUAACUACGUGCCAGCCGCCGCGGUAA